GGAUUGAGAGCUUGCUCUCAAGAAGUUAGCGGCGGACGGGUGAGUAACACGUGGGUAACCUGCCCAUAAGACUGGGAUAACUCCGGGAAACCGGGGCUAAUACCGGAUAAUAUUUUGAACUGCAUGGUUCGAAAUUGAAAGGCGGCUUCGGCUGUCACUUAUGGAUGGACCCGCGUCGCAUUAGCUAGUUGGUGAGGUAACGGCUCACCAAGGCAACGAUGCGUAGCCGACCUGAGAGGGUGAUCGGCCACACUGGGACUGAGACACGGCCCAGACUCCUACGGGAGGCAGCAGUAGGGAAUCUUCCGCAAUGGACGAAAGUCUGACGGAGCAACGCCGCGUGAGUGAUGAAGGCUUUCGGGUCGUAAAACUCUGUUGUUAGGGAAGAACAAGUGCUAGUUGAAUAAGCUGGCACCUUGACGGUACCUAACCAGAAAGCCACGGCUAACUACGUGCCAGCAGCCGCGGUAAUACGUAGGUGGCAAGCGUUAUCCGGAAUUAUUGGGCGUAAAGCGCGCGCAGGUGGUUUCUUAAGUCUGAUGUG
rnacentral:rRNA from 1 species